UCUAAAAAAAAGUACACUGGCCAUUCCGGUUGAAGCACCAGGAGGAGCUAUUCAUCGCCACUGAGGGCAAGUACACUGGCCAGUUCGUAUUCUGCGAGAAGAAGCCAAUCUCAUGGUCGGGAAUGUCCUCCUCCUCAGAUCCAUCCCCGAAGGUGCUGUUGCCUGUAACGUUUAGCGCCGUGUCGGUGAUCGUGGUGUUGUGGCUAGUGCUUCUGGCGAUUACACCAUUGUUAUCAGUCAUAACCGUGAUAAUGGUACCUCUAGGAGCAUCCACGAGGACGAAUCAACACUCUGAGCACUGUGAGCAGUGGGAUGUCCAACCCCAGCCUUAGUGAGAUUGUAAAAGGUUACUGAGAUUUUGGAGUCAGCCAAGGUUGCUUCACACAAGAGGCUUUUGUUUUGAUCUUCUUUUGUUUACUUUUGAUGGUCAUGUAUGACUAGUCGGAGAUGAAACUUUUUGGAGGAUCUGACAGACUGGCCCUUAAACUAUGCUUUGGAAAGAAAAUCGUGGAACUUGAGGAUGAGAAAAGAACUGUUCAAUUGUUUUAUCUAUGCAGCAAUAAUGGGAUCGUUUGUUGGCUAAAGUUGAAAAUCUCGCCGCUAAUAAUGAUCGACAAACACAAUAAUUUCAAGUUAUUCAUGCACAGAAAUUAAAAGCACUUGAGGCACAGGAUCUUAAAAAGAAACAAGAGAACCACGUUCAGCUUUUACAGCAAAAGCAGAAGAGUGAUGAAGCAGCAAAACUGUUGCAAGAAGAAAUUCAAUUCAUGAAGGCCCAAAAGGUUCAACUGCAACAAAAGAUAAAACAAAAGGCAGAACAACUUCGACAUUGGAAAGCCUCGAGAGAAGGUCAGAAAUUAUUUGGAGAGAUGCAAAAAUGGUCAAAGAAGAUGGACUAACAUAGAAGAACACUGUUUUUCAUAAGUUUUUCCAUUUUUUGUAAUGAGAUAUUUAUUGUGUAAUCAUAGUAAAAAAAAAAAAAAAAAACUUUCCUCAACCUUCUUUGUAUAUAUUUUUUCAACAUUCGAUUUUCAUUUAUGAAAUAUAUGAGGUUAUUAACUAUUCGUAUGAGGUUAUUAACUAUUCGUAUGUGGCCAAUGCUG